rnacentral:misc_RNA from 1 species
GUUGAAGUCAGUUCCUGCUUGCAAAAGAUCAUCAUAUUUUCCUGCCUGUAUAAUGCGGCCUUCUUUGAUAACCAAUAUCAAAUCAACAGCGGGCAAAAAUUCAACUUGAUGUGUUACAAAAAUGACAGUUUUGUCUGCUAGUGCCGUCAUUAUGUAUUCCUUAAACAAGUCUAAGGCAGUGUGUAUAUCAACAGCACUGAAGGGGUCAUCAAGUAAAUAAAUGUCCGCAUCUUGAUAUAGUGCCCUGGCAAGCUGAACACGUUGUUU